rnacentral:rRNA from 1 species
AGCGGAGGAAAAGAAACUAACAAGGAUUCCCCUAGUAACUGCGAGUGAAGCGGGAAAAGCUCAAAUUUAAAAUCUGGCGGUCCUUGGCCGUCCGAGUUGUAAUCUAGAGAAGUGUUACCCGCGUCGGACCGUGUACAAGUCUCCUGGAAUGGAGCGUCAUAGAGGGUGAGAAUCCCGUCUUUGACACGGACUACCGAGGCUUUGUGGUGCGCUCUCAAAGAGUCGAGUUGUUUGGGAAUGCAGCUCAAAAUGGGUGGUAAAUUCCAUCUAAAGCUAAAUAUUGGCGAGAGACCGAUAGCGAACAAGUACCGUGAGGGAAAGAUGAAAAGAACUUUGGAAAGAGAGUUAAACAGUACGUGAAAUUGCUGAAAGGGAAACGCUUGAAGUCAGUCGCGUCGUCCGGGAAUCAGCCUYCCUUCUGGUUGGUGUACUUCCUGGUUGACGGGCCAGCAUCAGUUUUGACCGGUGGAAAAAGUUCGAGGGAAUGUGGCACCUCCGGGUGUGUUAUAGCCCUCGUUCGUAUACAUCGGUUGGGACUGAGGAACUCAGCACGCCGCAAGGCCGGGAUUCGUCCACGUUCGUGCUUAGGAUGCUGGCAUAAUGGCUUUAAUCGACCCGUC